rnacentral:rRNA from 1 species
CGGGACACGUGGUAUCCUGUCUGAAUAUGGGGGGACCAUCCUCCAAGGCUAAAUACUCCUGACUGACCGAUAGUGAACCAGUACCGUGAGGGAAAGGCGAAAAGAACCCCGGCGAGGGGAGUGAAAAAGAACCUGAAACCGUGUACGUACAAGCAGUGGGAGCACAGAGCAAUCUGUGUGACUGCGUACCUUUUGUAUAAUGGGUCAGCGACUUAUAUUCUGUAGCAAGGUUAACCGAAUAGGGGAGCCGAAGGGAAACCGAGUCUUAACCGGGCGUUAAGUUGCAGGGUAUAGACCCGAAACCCGGUGAUCUAGCCAUGGGCAGGUUGAAGGUUGGGUAACACUAACUGGAGGACCGAACCGACUAAUGUUGAAAAAUUAGCGGAUGACUUGUGGCUGGGGGUGAAAGGCCAAUCAAACCGGGAGAUAGCUGGUUCUCCCCGAAAGCUAUUUAGGUAGCGCCUCGUGAAUUCAUCUCCGGGGGUAGAGCACUGUUUCGGCAAGGGGGUCAUCCCGACUUACCAACCCGAUGCAAACUGCGAAUACCGGAGAAUGUUAUCACGGGAGACACACGGCGGGUGCUAACGUCCGUCGUGAAGAGGGAAACAACCCAGACCGCCAGCUAAGGUCCCAAAGUCAUGGUUAAGUGGGAAACGAUGUGGGAAGGCCCAGACAGCCAGGAUGUUGGCUUAGAAGCAGCCAUCAUUUAAAGAAAGCGUAAUAGCUCACUGGUCGAGUCGGCCUGCGCGGAAGAUGUAACGGGGCUAAACCAUGCACCGAAGCUGCGGCAGCGACACUGUGUGUUGUUGGGUAGGGGAGCGUUCUGUAAGCCUGUGAAGGUGUGCUGUGAGGCAUGCUGGAGGUAUCAGAAGUGCGAAUGCUGACAUAAGUAACGAUAAAGCGGGUGAAAAGCCCGCUCGCCGGAAGACCAAGGGUUCCUGUCCAACGUUAAUCGGGGCAGGGUGAGUCGACCCCUAAGGCGAGGCCGAAAGGCGUAGUCGAUGGGAAACAGGUUAAUAUUCCUGUACUUGGUGUUACUGCGAAGGGGGGACGGAGAAGGCUAUGUUGGCCGGGCGACGGUUGUCCCGGUUUAAGCGUGUAGGCUGGUUUUCCAGGCAAAUCCGGAAAAUCAAGGCUGAGGCGUGAUGACGAGGCACUACGGUGCUGAAGCAACAAAUGCCCUGCUUCCAGGAAAAGCCUCUAAGCAUCAGGUAACAUCAAAUCGUACCCCAAACCGACACAGGUGGUCAGGUAGAGAAUACCAAGGCGCUUGAGAGAACUCGGGUGAAGGAACUAGGCAAAAUGGUGCCGUAACUUCGGGAGAAGGCACGCUGAUAUGUAGGUGAAGUCCCUCGCGGAUGGAGCUGAAAUCAGUCGAAGAUACCAGCUGGCUGCAACUGUUUAUUAAAAACACAGCACUGUGCAAACACGAAAGUGGACGUAUACGGUGUGACGCCUGCCCGGUGCCGGAAGGUUAAUUGAUGGGGUCAGCGCAAGCGAAGCUCUUGAUCGAAGCCCCGGUAAACGGCGGCCGUAACUAUAACGGUCCUAAGGUAGCGAAAUUCCUUGUCGGGUAAGUUCCGACCUGCACGAAUGGCGUAAUGAUGGCCAGGCUGUCUCCACCCGAGACUCAGUGAAAUUGAACUCGCUGUGAAGAUGCAGUGUACCCGCGGCAAGACGGAAAGACCCCGUGAACCUUUACUAUAGCUUGACACUGAACAUUGAGCCUUGAUGUGUAGGAUAGGUGGGAGGCUUUGAAGUGUGGACGCCAGUCUGCAUGGAGCCGACCUUGAAAUACCACCCUUUAAUGUUUGAUGUUCUAACGUGGACCCGUGAUCCGGGUUGCGGACAGUGUCUGGUGGGUAGUUUGACUGGGGCGGUCUCCUCCUAAAGAGUAACGGAGGAGCACGAAGGUUGGCUAAUCCUGGUCGGACAUCAGGAGGUUAGUGCAAUGGCAUAAGCCAGCUUGACUGCGAGCGUGACGGCGCGAGCAGGUGCGAAAGCAGGUCAUAGUGAUCCGGUGGUUCUGAAUGGAAGGGCCAUCGCUCAACGGAUAAAAGGUACUCCGGGGAUAACAGGCUGAUACCGCCCAAGAGUUCAUAUCGACGGCGGUGUUUGGCACCUCGAUGUCGGCUCAUCACAUCCUGGGGCUGAAGUAGGUCCCAAGGGUAUGGCUGUUCGCCAUUUAAAGUGGUACGCGAGCUGGGUUUAGAACGUCGUGAGACAGUUCGGUCCCUAUCUGCCGUGGGCGCUGGAGAACUGAGGGGGGCUGCUCCUAGUACGAGAGGACCGGAGUGGACGCAUCACUGGUGUU